rnacentral:rRNA from 1 species
UACGUAGGGUGCGAGCGUUGUCCGGAAUUAUUGGGCGUAAAAGAGCUCGUAGGCGGUCUGUCACGUCGGCUGUGAAAAUCCCGAGGCUCAACCUCGGGUCUGCAGUCGAUACGGGCAAACUAGAGUAUUGCAGGGGAGACUGGAAUUCCUGGUGUAGCGGUGAAAUGCGCAGAUAUCAGGAGGAACACCGGUGGCGAAGGCGGGUCUCUGGGCAAUAACUGACGCUGAGGAGCGAAAGCGUGGGGGAGCGAACAGG